ACACUGAAACACCCGUUCACGUACGAUCACCGAAGUUAAGCAACGUCCAGCCUAGUCAGUACCUAGAUGGGUGGCCGUUUUGGAAAACCAUCUGCUGUAA